CGCGUAGGUGGUUCAGCAAGUUGGAUGUGAAAGCCCCGGGCUCAACCUGGGAACUGCAUCCAAAACUACUGAGCUAGAGUACGGUAGAGGGUGGUGGAAUUUCCUGUGUAGCGGUGAAAUGCGUAGAUAUAGGAAGGAACACCAGUGGCGAAGGCGACCACCUGGACUGAUACUGACACUGAGGUGCGAAAGCGUGGGGAGCAAACA
rnacentral:rRNA from 2 species